CAUGGCUCAGUUGAACGCUGGCGGCAGGCCUAACACAUGCAAGUCGAGCGGAAACGAGUUGUCUGAACCUUCGGGGAACGAUAACGCCGUCGAGCGGCGGACGGGUGAGUAAUGCCUGGGAAAUUGCCCUGAUGUGGGGGAUAACCAUUGGAAACGAUGGCUAAUACCGCAUAAUAGCUUCGGCUCAAAGAGGGGGACCUUCGGGCCUCUCGCGUCAGGAUAUGCCCAGGUGGGAUUAGCUAGUUGGUGAGGUAAUGGCUCACCAAGGCGACGAUCCCUAGCUGGUCUGAGAGGAUGAUCAGCCACACUGGAACUGAGACACGGUCCAGACUCCUACGGGAGGCAGCAGUGGGGAAUAUUGCACAAUGGGCGCAAGCCUGAUGCAGCCAUGCCGCGUGUAUGAAGAAGGCCUUCGGGUUGUAAAGUACUUUCAGCAGUGAGGAAGGUGGAUGUGUUAAUAGCGCAUUCAUUUGACGUUAGCUGCAGAAGAAGCACCGGCUAACUCCGUGCCAGCAGCCGCGGUAAUACGG
rnacentral:rRNA from 1 species